GUCUACGGCCAUGCCACCCUGAACAAGCCAGAUCUUGUCUGAUUUUGGAAGCUAAGCAGGGUUGGGCCUGGUUAGUACUUGGAUGGGAGACCAACUAGGAAGACUGGGCGCUGUAGGCA
rfam:Pteropus alecto contig168514, whole genome shotgun sequence.